GGGUUGUGAGGUUAAGCGACUAAGCGUACACGGUGGAUGCCCUGGCAGUCAGAGGCGAUGAAGGGCGUGCUAAUCUGCGAUAAGCGCCGGUAAGGUGAUAUGAACCGUUAUAACCGGCGAUACCCGAAUGGGGAAACCCAGUGUGACUCGUCACACUAUCAUUAACUGAAUCCAUAGGUUAAUGAGGCGAACCGGGGGAACUGAAACAUCUAAGUACCCCGAGGAAAAGAAAUCAACCGAGAUUCCCCCAGUAGCGGCGAGCGAACGGGGAGGAGCCCAGAGCCUGAAUCAGCAU
rnacentral:rRNA from 5 species